rnacentral:lncRNA from 1 species
UAGGAAGAGCAAUAAAGUUCAAAUUUGAGAUAUCUAAAAGUGACUUUGUUAGUCCACAACAAUGGAAUCCUAAAGAACACUUCUCUGUCAUGAUACAAUUUAAGAAGAAAUUUAUACUACCUACUCGCCCCACCCCAGCUACAAACUGAAUUUGGGAAAUAAUACUUUCACACCAGUUUUAAAAGUUUAUAAAUCUUCAUAAAAUUAUCUUUUCCAAUUCUAUACUUUCUGUAGUGAGUGAUAGUCAGUGUGUCUUCCAAUAUUCCAGUGGGAAUCAUUGUUAAUAACAGCAGAUUUUGUUAUUUUUUAUGCCCAUUCUAAUCACAUAACAUUGGGUAUUUACAUUGAUGAUAUUAGGCAAUUGUCCAGUGCAGCCUUUAUUAAGCUUUGUAUUGUAAAUACAACUACAUUUUAGUUUAACACAGUGUUGGAACCAAGAAGGCUUGUCCCCAC